rnacentral:rRNA from 2 species
UCUAGGACCGCCGUAAUGAUUAAUAGGGACAGUCGGGGGCAUCAGUAUUCAAUCGUCNGAGGUGAAAUUCUUGGAUCGAUUGAAGACUAACUACUGCGAAAGCAUUUGCCAAGGAUGUUUUCAUUUAUCAGGAACGAAAGUUAGGGGAUCGAAGACGAUCAGAUACCGUCGUAGUCUUAACCAUAAACUAUGCCGACUAGGGAUCGGACGGUGUUAUUUCUUGACCCGUUCGGCACCUUACGAGAAAUCAAAGUGCUUGGGCUCCAGGGGGAGUAUGGUCGCAAGGCUGAAACUUAAAGAAAUUGACGGAAGGGCACCACCAGGGGUGGAGCCUGCGGCUUAAUUUGACUCAACACGGGGAAACUCACCAGGUCCAGACACAACGAGGAUUGACAGAUUGAGAGCUCUUUCUUGAUUUUGUGGGUGGUGGUGCAUGGCCGUUCUUAGUUGGUGGAGUGAUUUGUCUGCUUAAUUGCGAUAACGAACGAGACCUUAACCUGCUAACUAGUCCGUAUUACCCCGGUAGUACUCCGACUUCUUANAGGGACUAUCGGCUCAAGCCGAUGGAAGUUUGAGGCAAUAACAGGUCUGUGANGCCCUUANAUGNUUCUGGGCCGCACGCGCGUUACACUGACGGGGCCAGCGAGUCCUUCCUUGACCGAAAGGNCCGGGUAANCUUGUGAAANCCCCGUCGUGCUGGGGAUAGAGCAUUGCA